AACCUUUAUAAUGAAAGAUAGAAUGAUGGGGUAACGCCCUGAAAUAUCUUGCCUAAUACUCCGAUAUGCGUUUCACAGCCUAAAAUGUGAAAGGUAUAAAGUUCGGUGAAGUCAGUUGAAAGAGUACCUAAGUUAAACUAAGUAGUCGAGUAUAAUUGGUACAAAAGUGGUUAGAACCCGCCUGUUAGAAAAACUACCGAAAUAAUAUGGGAAAUGAUAGACUGGGGCUCUAUAA
rnacentral:ncRNA from 1 species